rnacentral:antisense_RNA from 1 species
CUUGACCGACCCCAGGAGCAGCGGCUUGUCCGCCGAUCGCUCCUGGCCGUACGUGGCGAGCAGGGCCUGGGCCUC